ACUCCGCUCAGAAUCGUUUAUUCAUUAGCAAUGGGUCAUCGUUGCAUACAGACAUUGUACAUUGAAUUCCCGUUCUAUUGAGUUCCCAAUUUCUCGCCUGUAACAGGAGCUGCACCCGUUCCAAUUAUCUCAGGCCAGCUUUUUUAUAUAUAUAUAUACAUUCAUUAUAUUUUUUAGUUCAGUAUACUGACAUGGUCAAAUCCGGCGAUAAAACGGAAACGGGUGGUCACGAAGGUUCUCCGCGACGGACUAGUUGGCGCGCCUUUUGUAUACACGAGUAUCGUUUAACGUUGGAACGGCGCCAUUGUGGUUUUGGCGACCCUAAAUUAAAAUGACCUAUUCUCGGGUGGCUGCAGCAGAAAAAAAAACCAUCCAAAUGAGUACGUAGAUAUGCACGACGCGGUUUU